rnacentral:rRNA from 1 species
GAACGCUGGCGGCAUGCCUAACACAUGCAAGUCUAGGGGUAGCAAUACCACUGGCGCACGGGUGAGUAACACGUAGGUUAUCUGCCCCCAUCACAGACAUAACCCCGGGAAACCGGGGCUAAUAUCUGAUGAGGUCGCGAGAUCAAAGCUUCGGCGGAUGGGGAUGAGCCUGCGGCUGAUUAGCUAGUUGGUGAGGUAAUGGCUCACCAAGGCGACGAUCAGUAGCUGGUCUGAGAGGACGAACAGCCACACUGGAACUGAGACACGGUCCAGACUCCUACGGGAGGCAGCAGUGAGGAAUAUUGGUCAAUGGGAGCAAUCCUGAACCAGCAAUGCCGCGUGUGGGAUGACAGGGCUUCGCCUUGUAAACCACUGUCGGACGGGACGAAAGGAGGCCUCGGGCCUCUGGGACGGUACCGUCAAAGGAAGGGUCGGCUAACUACGUG